GAGGCGGUGAAUGAGUCAUUGACAUUUCGCUGAAAGAUCUUUCAUCAAAAGACCUCUUCCUUUCUAUAUUAACGUGUCUUGGUCUUUCCAGCAACCUAGACAAAUCUUCCUCGAUUUCAAACAAGGAUGGAGCAGCUUCGACAUGUCUUGCAUUUCCAUUUUGAGACACAUCCGUUGUGCUAGGCAUCUUUUGACACUUUCAAAUGUCCUAGACAAUAAGAAAUUGAAUCCAAAGAUCUUUCAACAUGUCUUGCAUUUCCAUUUUGAGACACAUCCGUUGUGCUAGGCAUCUUUUGACACUUUCAAAAGUCCUAGACAAUAAGAAAUUGAAUCCAAAGAUCUGCAUAUCACCAAUGAAAUAAGCAAAGUUUUAAUACUAAUACUUAACAGGAGCUUCGUAAUCUCACCAGAAAUUAUAAAGAGAAUCAACUAGCAAUGUAAAGUGCAAUUAAUGUCUUUGUUACUUAAAAUAUAUCUAAUAAAAAUGUGCAACAUAUCACAGGAAGCAGCAACUAGGCAUCAACAUUCUGCUAAUAUUUGCUAUAGCCUGUAAACGAUAUUCUCGAGAAGUUAAGUCAACUGAACAAAACUAGAGCAAGUUCAUUAGUACAUACUUGGAGUGAUUAUGACUAAUCAUUAACUUAAUCAAACAAUAAAGCCAAACUAGUGCUAGAUCUUUUUUCCUUUAUCAAUUUAUUAUGUUUUUUCUUUAAUGUUCAUAUUUUGAUCAGUAUGAAGUCAAUCAAGCAACAUACUGAAGCCGGCCGGCACAAACACCUAACUGAAAUUCUAAAAAUAUAUAAUGAAUGCAAAUUAAACUAGCAGAAACUAUAAUAUUAUCG
rnacentral:lncRNA from 1 species